rnacentral:rRNA from 1 species
UACGUAGGGGGCAAGCGUUGUCCGGAUUUAUUGGGCGUAAAGAGCGUGUAGGCGGCCAUGUAGGUCCGUUGUGAAAACUCGAGGCUCAACCUCGAGACGCCGAUGGAAACCAUGUGGCUAGAGUCCGGAAGAGGAGAGUGGAAUUCCUGGUGUAGCGGUGAAAUGCGCAGAUAUCAGGAAGAACACCCGUGGCUAAGGCGGCUCUCUAAUACGGUACUGACGCUGAGACGCGAAAGCGUGGGGAGCGAACAGG